AUGGAAGCCGCUGCCGCUGCGAGCCCCGGUAGCUCGUCGCUGGAAGCCGUGGCCACCGCCUUCCGGUCCCGCGUCAACGAGCUCCAGGACCUAGCCCUUGCCCGCAACAUGUACCCGGCAACGGCGGUGACCGACCUCACCGCCGUGGACACGUCGGUGACGGCCAUGGAGGCACAGGUGCAGGCCAUCCGCCGCCGCCUGCAGGAGGAGCUCGACGCCAUCCCCAAGGCCAAGAAACUAGUGGAGAAGUCCUUGAAGCAACAGCAGAAGUUGCAGCAUAUGCUUGCAAACAUGCCACCUGGGAUGCGUGAGGAUAUCGUUGCUACUCCUCUGGAACAAAGCUUGAUGUUGCCCGAGUGCUUUAAUUUUAACACAGCUGUUCCAGAAUGUCUGGACUCUGAUUUUAAGAUUAAGGAAGAGCCAGUUGCAGCUCCCAAAAAGGGGAAAGGUUCAGCACCUCGUUGGUAUAUAUCCACUGAGGAGCUUGAUUCAUUAUCAUCGUACAUGAGGGGGAGGCUAACAUUGGAGAAGGUUAACAUUUCGAUAAACGAGGUGGCUACAUAUGCAGAUGCUAAUGCUCAUCUUGUUGCAUGUCCUAAGAAAAAGUUAUCAGAAGACACAUGGGAAAAAGCUUUGGAACUAAGGGACAUAGCUGCCACUGAGGCAGUGAAGGGGAAGCAUUUCUUCCUGGAAGCUGAUAUAAAGGGGCCUGGGCUAAAACUUGAUCACACAGGCAAAGCUAUCCUUACCGUCCUUCGCCAUCUUGGCCGCGUCCAUGAAACCCGGAUUGGGCAUCAUCGGGUCUUCAUACUUUCAAAACAAUGCUGA
rnacentral:rRNA from 1 species